rnacentral:rRNA from 1 species
GAUGAACGCUGGCGGCGUGCCUAAUACAUGCAAGUCGAGCGAACGGACGAGAAGCUUGCUUCUCUGAUGUUAGCGGCGGACGGGUGAGUAACACGUGGAUAACCUACCUAUAAGACUGGGAUAACUUCGGGAAACCGGAGCUAAUACCGGAUCAUAUUUUGAACCGCAUGGUUCAAAAGUGAAAGACGGUCUUGCUGUCACUUAUAGAUGGAUCCGCGCUGCAUUAGCUAGUUGGUAAGGUAACGGCUUACCAAGGCAACGAUGCAUAGCCGACCUGAGAGGGUGAUCGGCCACACUGGAACUGAGACACGGUCCAGACUCCUACGGGAGGCAGCAGUAGGGAAUCUUGCGCAAUGGGCGAAAGCCUGACGGAGCAACGCCGCGUGAGUGAUGAAGGUCUUCGGAUCGUAAAACUCUGUUAUUAGGGAAGAACAUAUGUGUAAGUAACUGUGCACAUCUUGACGGUACCUAAUCAGAAAGCCACGGCUAACUACGUG